rnacentral:rRNA from 1 species
AGAGUUUGAUCCUGGCUCAGGAUGAACGCUGGCGGCGUGCUUAACACAUGCAAGUCGAACGAACCUUCGGGUUAGUGGCGGACGGGUGAGUAACGCGUGAGAAUCUGCCCUCAGGAGGGGGAUAACGGUUGGAAACGACCGCUAAUACCCCAUAUGCCGAUAGGUGAAAUGAAUUUCGCCUGAGGAUGAGCUCGCGUCUGAUUAGCUUGUUGGUGAGGUAAUGGCUCACCAAGGCUUCGAUCAGUAGCUGGUCUGAGAGGAUGAUCAGCCACACUGGGACUGAGACACGGCCCAGACUCCUACGGGAGGCAGCAGUGGGGAAUUUUCCGCAAUGGGCGAAAGCCUGACGGAGCAACGCCGCGUGAGGGACGAAGGCCUCUGGGCUGUAAACCUCUUUUCUCAAGGAAGAAGAUAUGACGGUACUUGAGGAAUAAGCCACGGCUAAUUCCGUGCCAGCAGCCGCGGUAAUACGGGAGUGGCAAGCGUUAUCCGGAAUUAUUGGGCGUAAAGCGUCCGCAGGCGGCCUUUCAAGUCUGCUGUUAAAGAGUGGAGCUUAACUCCAUCAUGGCAGUGGAAACUGAAAGGCUUGAGUAUGGUAGGGGCAGAGGGAAUUCCCGGUGUAGCGGUGAAAUGCGUAGAUAUCGGGAAGAACACCAGUGGCGAAGGCGCUCUGCUGGGCCAUUACUGACGCUCAUGGACGAAAGCCAGGGGAGCGAAAGGGAUUAGAUACCCCUGUAGUCCUGGCCGUAAACGAUGAACACUAGGUGUCGGGGGAAUCGACCCCUUCGGUGUCGUAGCUAACGCGUUAAGUGUUCCGCCUGGGGAGUACGCACGCAAGUGUGAAACUCAAAGGAAUUGACGGGGGCCCGCACAAGCGGUGGAGUAUGUGGUUUAAUUCGAUGCAACGCGAAGAACCUUACCAGGGUUUGACAUCCUGCGAACCUCUUAGAAAUUUGAGGGUGCCUUCGGGAAUGCAGUGACAGGUGGUGCAUGGCUGUCGUCAGCUCGUGUCGUGAGAUGUUGGGUUAAGUCCCGCAACGAGCGCAACCCACGUUUUUAGUUGCCAGCAUUUAGUUGGGCACUCUAGAAAGACCGCCGGUGAUAAACCGGAGGAAGGUGUGGAUGACGUCAAGUCAUCAUGCCCCUUACACCCUGGGCUACACACGUACUACAAUGCUACGGACAAAGGGCAGCAAACUCGCGAGAGCUAGCAAAUCCCAUAAACCGUGGCUCAGUUCAGAUCGUAGGCUGCAACUCGCCUACGUGAAGUAGGAAUCGCUAGUAAUCGCAGGUCAGCAUACUGCGGUGAAUACGUUCCCGGGCCUUGUACACACCGCCCGUCACACCAUGGAAGUUGGCCAUGCCCGAAGUCGUUACUCCAACCCUUGUGGAGGAGGACGCCGAAGGUGGGGCUAAUGACUGGGGUGAAGUCGUAACAAGGUAGCCGUACCGGAAGGUGCGGCUG